rnacentral:rRNA from 1 species
GUGGGGAAUAUUGGGCAAUGGGGGAAACCCUGACCCAGCGACGCCGCGUGAGGGAAGAAGGCCUUAGGGUCGUAAACCUCUGUUGUGUGGGAAGAAGAGCGUGACGGUACCACACGAGGAAGUCCCGGCUAACUACGUGCCAGCAGCCGCGGUAAUACGUAGGGGACGAGCGUUGUCCGGAUUUACUGGGCGUAAAGGGCGCGUAGGCGGUCAUUUAAGUCAGCUGUGAAAUGGUUUGGCUUAACCGGGUCAUGCGGUUGCAACUAGAUGACUGGAGUGCUGGAGAGGCAAGUGGAAUUCCCAGUGUAGCGGUGAAAUGCGUAGAUAUUGGGAAGAACACCGGUGGCGAAGGCGACUUGCUGGGCAGCAACUGACGCUGAGGCGCGAAAGCCAGGGGAGCAAACGGGAUUAGAUACCCGUGUAGUCC